AGGGUAUGACACUAACAGAAUAGGGAGUCUCAACCAGUAAGCACAUCCCCGGAGGUAAAGAGGGAAGGGUGUCGACACAUUUUAUAUACAGUUCAAAUAAUAUCAAAGCGGUAACAAUUAGCACAUUAAGCAUGUAGCAUGUACGAAAAUCAGAUAUAACCAAAUACAACAAUUUAUAUAAGCUCGAAUUAUGAACCCUGAACAAAACGUUCUGGGUUCUUGUCUCCAGUAGAGUCGCCAGAGCUGUCACACCUCUUUUGUUGGAACACACUUUCAAAGACGUUGAACUAAAGUCAUGUUCGUUUUUGUAGGUUUUGAUG
rnacentral:lncRNA from 1 species